CUGUCUCUGCUCCCUUUGCCACAUGGACUGGAUCAGCCAAAGAUCCACACAGGCAGAGAAAACCACACUCACAUCACCUAGGAAUCAGCCAGCAUACAGAGAAUCUAGAGACCAUUUUCCAUGAAUACGUCAUUGGUUUAUCUUAGACUGAAAAACUGGAGACUUCAGAGAGUGAGGGCUCAUUUCGUCUGUGCCAUCAAAUCUAAGGGUCUGUAGAGACGGACGCAGCUGCUGACCCCUUCAAGACUGAAAUGCCUGUGUGGGAUAAUGGUCUACAAAGUUCCAAGGACUUGCAAAGGUGAACGAGCAUCUCUUCCUAAAGUGACUCGAAAGGGAGUUGAAUAUACAUCUCAGAAGAAAUGAAAGGAAAAAGAACAGAGCGAUAAUUGAUUUCUGAUAAAAAAAAACAUUUUUAAAGCUAACAUUUUGCCACAGGAAAAUUAGCUUGAGAAGCAAGAACUGCUGGGAAGAAGAUUCAAAAUGCCUUAAUCUUCCCAUCUAAUACUGCAACAGACACACCCGAAGGAUGCACACUUCUGGAAUCCUCCAACAGUUUGGAAAAGAGCUAUGCCUUCCACAUAUGACAAUAAUUUGACAAAGCAUCCUUCUCAGAGAGAGGAGUCCAUUCCCUAUAGUAUGGACUUGAAAAAAAAAGAAAGAAAGAAAAGACAAGAGGACAUUGAGAUGUGCAGAUUAAACACUUCGGUCUCAUCUCCGGUUUGGUCCUAGCCUCACAGCAGAGAUUUUUCUCUAAUAGUAUUAGCUCCCAUGGGCUACAGCUAGGAUUCACAUAUCUGUGAGUCCUUCUGUGGAGGCUGCCAGAGGGACUCGCAAGGGGAACCAGAGGAGUGUAGCAGUUGUUACAGAACAGCUUCACUGAGCUGAAGUAAAGCCAAGAUACAGCCAGAUGCCAUGGAGUUGACUUUCUGCCAGGAAGAGAUAUAUGGGGCAAUAAGCCAGCCACAAGAGCAAAGCCCAGCACAGCUGAGAAAGAUAUGCAUUUCAGUUAUACCUGCCAGAUUUCUCUCUUCUAGAGGUAGAGGCCAAAGGAGAAUUGGCUGAUACCAGCAGAUCAGAUGUAGCUCAAGUCACAAGAAACAAUAAAGUGAUUAUUGUUCUAAAACUCAGUUGUUACAGGAUUGAAACCCCAUGGGUGAUGGCGGCUCAUCGUUCUCAUGUGAAUGAUACUGGAAAGUCCUUCACUUUGCAACUCUUUGGCUUCUCUCUCAACACGUUUCUCAACUACUUUUAGGAAUUAACUUGGUUAGAUAUCCCAGAUAAUUUUUAAGAUGAACUGAUCAAUAACCCUAGGAAGCAGAAAUGAAUAGACCAUCAAAGCCUCUUUUCCAAGAUGAAUAACAUCAAGGUAGCAGAGAUCUUAGAGUCAAAAAUUCUGCCUACUUUAUAUGAAGGUUUUCAGCCAUGUCUUAUUAAAUUCCUAGUCUUACGGUUAGAUUCUUGGCAUCUUUAUUUAGAAUGAAAUUAAAAUUGAGAAUUCCUACAUCAAGUGAGAAAAGAGCCCUCAGUCAGGGAACUUUUCAGAAGAAGGAGUAUUUGUGGACCCUGUCCUUAAGAAGUAGGGCAACACAAGAUACUCGGCACUCAGUUCAAAGUGGCUAUCACAUGAGUAUACUGGGAAACAGUACUAGAAAAGCUGUACAAAAUUGUAAGGGAUUGUGUUACUGAACAACACUGAUGAUUAAUACCCUAAAUAUAUGCUAAAAAGUUCUCAUUUUCCUUAAGGAAAACAUCCUGAUUACUCUAUCGCACACUUCUUUUUCUAGGAUCUCAUGUCUGAUAAAAGAGAGCUGAGAGCCUGACAUACUUGGCCAAGACAUAGUAACAAAACAUACAAUUGGAGGGCAGAUUAUUUCCACAUAGGCGAGGAACCCAUAAGGUAUCUUAUCAAUAAGAGACACAGCUUUAAAAAAAAUCACUGGAAAAAUCACACUUGUUAAACACAUUGGCCUGUUUUCUUCUAAGUAAAAAGAAAUGACUGGUGCCUGGUCACUCAGAAGGCUGGAAGGAAUGUUACCUAACAACCUGUGGAUCUUUUUUCUGUUCUACAGAGCCAGCCUUCCUGAAUCCAUCAGUAUCCUACGCAUUGUUUAGGCCCUUAUCCUGAGCUUAAGUUCUCAGUGAAUAGAACCAAUCCUUAUAAUAAAAGAGGUCCCAUCUACUUUGCAUCCUACAUCACUAGGAUCUAUUCUUAUGAUUAUUAACAAAUCCUUUCUCAUUAGUUCCCCUGCUCUGUGUACAGUUUAUCCGUGAAUAGAACUCAUUCUUAUUGGAAAGGUCAUGGAUGCUUUGGUUCUUUGCUAGAGACCGUCUACCUACAUACGCCUAAAGCUUUGUUGUGGUAAUUGUCAUCUGCAAACCUUUCCCCAAAGUUUUACUGUGAUUAAAUGUGUAAGGAAAAUAAACCCAGAGGUC